GCCUGAAGAGCUUCCUUUAGGAUUUCUUGUGAGACAAGUCAGCUUUUAUUUGUCUGGAAAAGUCUUUAUCUCACUUUUAUUUGUGAAGAACUGCUUUGGCAGCCGUACCCUCAAGAACUGCACCUUCCAACCACCCUUAUAUGAGCCUGCUCCAAAACCUUGCCAGCCAGCACUUCCAGGUUACGACUAUUGACCUCCAGCUCCCAGUUUCAGAGAGUUCUCCCAGUCUCCUGGAUCACACUGGUCGGAAAGCUGUUUGGUAGACAACCUUCGAGUCUUUCUGCCUUCAUACUGUGGGUAUACCGUUCUCCCAACUGAAAACCCGUUUAUUUUCUUAUCUGUCUACUCAAAGCCUAACCAACACCAAAUGGCCUAGAAAUGCCACGUACCUACCAGUUGCCUCUUUCCUCCUCCAGCCCUUGUGAAUGUGAAUUCACAUCUCUGUUCUCUGUGUUCCUUGGCCACUUAGUACCAUUCACAAUAUCUCUCAUAGCUAGCUCUCUGCCUUAGGGCUGGCCCAUGGGACUAAAAUUCCUUGUGGUAGGUAUUUUUUUUUCAUAUUUCUAUUCUUAUAGCAUCUAGCAUAGAACAAACAGCCUAGUAUCUAGUGGGUAUCCAAUAACAACUUAUGCAGGUGAUUAGGCAAGAAAAAGAAAUAAAGCCUAUUCAAAUUGGAAAGGUGGAAGUCAAAUUGUCCCUAUUUGCUGGCAACAUAAUCUUAUAUAUAGAAGAACUUAAACACUCUGCCAAAAAUCCAUUAGAUGUGAUAAACAAUUCAGUAAGGUUGUAUUGUAUGUAUCAAAACAUCCCUAUGUAACCCAUAGAGAUGUAUAAUUAUUUUAUGUUGAUCAAAAAUAAAAUAAUAAAAGCUCUUAAUAAAACAGUCAUCUC
ensembl:lncRNA FAM27C family with sequence similarity 27 member C